CUGCUUAAGCAGCAAAUAUGCCAAAACUGGAAUGAUACAGACUGGCACGGCCUUUGCAUAAGGAUGGCACACAAAUUUGUGAAGCAUUCCACACUUUU
ensembl:snRNA U6 U6 spliceosomal RNA